rfam:Termite gut metagenome tgut2b_Contig19749, whole genome shotgun sequence.
AGAUUCCAAAUCAGGCAAAGUUUAGCGAACAGCCUGUACUCAGUCUUGAUGCCGAAGCCGCGAGGUCAGGUAUAAGCGUAGACAGAGGAGUAUGCGAGCCGCAAUGCGAAAGCGUGAAGCGAUUGAGCCUCGUUAUAACUGAAAGCGGAAGCCGAUGUGUUCGUCCUCACAGCAGGCAGCAAUGUACACUCGUUAUCGCGAGAGUGUUACAGGUUCCGCCGGGGUCAUAGAGCG